GUACCUGGAGCACAAUGGAUAGUGUAUUGGACUUCUAAUCCAAAUGUCGUGGGUUUGAAUCCCACCUGGGAUG